AUGAAUGUAGUCCUGGAGGCUGAAUCUACUAGAGCAGAGGUGAAAGCUGCUCUCGAUCAUAUUGGUGAUCUCAAAGCUCCCGGGCCAGAUGGUAUGCCGGCGAUCGUCUGCAAGCGCCAUUGGCAUUUUAUGGGGGACCGAGUCGUGGAGGAAGUUCUGAACGUUCUGAACGGAGGAGACUUCCCGGAGGGGUGGAAUGAUACUAUGGUUGUGCUUAUUCCCAAGGUGAAGAACCCAAAAAGGAUCAAAGAUCUCCGUCCCAUCAUCCUAUGCAAUGUCGUGUACAAACUUGUUUCGAAGGUCAUAGCAAAUAGACUAAAGGUGUACUGCCUGCUGUGA
rnacentral:rRNA from 1 species